rnacentral:lncRNA from 1 species
UCUUGCUGUUGGGAUCACCAAGUACAUUCAAGAGAAGACAUGACCAUCCCCAAAUGGAAAUCCAUGUAGGAGCAGAAACCAAGGCAUACCAGGAUUCAUGUCUACUUCUCAGGGAAAUUUUGGCAAGGCGACUCCAGUAGCCAGAGUAGCCAGAUGACUUCCAGCUUGGAAAACUGAGAGACAGAACUCAAGGACAAGAAUAAGAGCUGUA